rnacentral:rRNA from 1 species
GGACUACCAGGGUUUCUAAUCCUGUUCGCUCCCCACGCUUUCGCUCCUCAGCGUCAGUAUCGGCCCAGAGAUCCGCCUUCGCCACCGGUGUUCCUCCUGAUAUCUGCGCAUUUCACCGCUACACCAGGAAUUCCGAUCUCCCCUACCGAACUCUAGCCUGCCCGUAUCGAAUGCAGACCCGGGGUUAAGCCCCGGGCUUUCACAUCCGACGCGACAAGCCGCCUACGAGCUCUUUACGCCCAAUAAUUCCGGACAACGCUUGCGCCCUACGUAUUACCGCGGCUGCUGGCAC